GGCAGGUUGCUUUUCUGCAUGACACAAAAAGGAUGGCUCCUUUACCCCAAAAAACCUUACACCCACAUGGGACUGAGGCCCUGUCACCCAGUGUGAAUAAACUACAGAACCAGAGGACAGCAGACGACCAGGAGCAACUGAUCCAGCAUCAGUUUUUCAACUCAUUAUGAGUCAAAGUCAAAGUACACUGUGGUCUUUGGACCAGGACUGAAGAUCAAAACCCUUGAUUUUCUACAGUAGUAUUCUUUUCUCCCAAAGGGCAGAUUUGCAACAUUGGACUUCCAGGAUGCCAUGAUGUUAAAACACAUCUCAGUCCUGAAGAAGCAACUGUCCACUUGUUGUGUCAAAACCAGCUAUUAUUGUACAGAUGAUUGCUUAUUAUGUAAGUAUUACUAAACAUUAUUAAUAUUAUAUUCCUGAUUAUUUUAUAUAUGUCUGCAAUGCGCCUUGUGUACAAAAUAAUAAAA